rnacentral:lncRNA from 1 species
UUCAAAUAGCUCCCAACUAUUAUAUUCCAACGGGAAGAUUGUGAAGGAGUAUAUAUCAACUAGAGCUUCAAAGAUAAAGAGUUGUUGAGUUAAAAAAUCGUUGAGUUGUUGGAAUGCUAUAUUGUUGACUCUACGAGUUCCACCAGAGCUGAACAGAACAAGUCUUAGUGGUGGUGAGACUACAAAGGUGGAAGUGAAGCAGAUUUGAAGAAGGACUUGAACAGACUAAAGCUUCACUCAAUAAGGAUAAGAAUGCCACUGAAGAUGGCAGCUAAGUUGAGAGCCAAGAAGGCCGAGAAGAUAGCAUUCAGAAAAGUGGCAGAGCA